GAAACACAAAGAAGAUUAACAGACACACGUGUGAACAAUCACAUCAUCAGAUCUGAGGAUGAACAUGGAUCAAGCGUCACUCGAGCAACUACAUGUCUGAUUACACACACUCAUUUAUUACACUGAUGAAGGCUGAGGAUGAGGUUUGUAAUAAACGCUGAUGUUCAUCACUCCGAUCUCCUCUGACCCUUCACUAAUGAGCAGAGGAAGUGAACGCUGCUGGCGUCACCAAACAGGAAAUGACCGUGUGAGACAGGAAGCAGAACAGGCCUCGCUCUUACCCAACGUCCUGUGAGCUGACAGAGAAGAGGAAGUGGGGAGGAAAGAGGAAGCAGCGUCCAUGUCACAUCCUGUCUAUCUGCCU